rnacentral:rRNA from 1 species
UAGGGAAUCUUCGGCAAUGGACGAAAGUCUGACCGAGCAACGCCGCGUGAGUGAAGAAGGUUUUCGGAUCGUAAAACUCUGUUGGUAGAGAAGAACGUUGGUGAGAGUGGAAAGCUCAUCAAGUGACGGUAACUACCCAGAAAGGGACGGCUAACUACGUGCCAGCAGCCGCGGUAUACAGUAGGUCCCGAGCGUUGUCCGGAUUUAUUGGGCGUAAAGCGAGCGCAGGUGGUUUAUUAAGUCUGGUGUAAAAGGCAGUGGCUCAACCAUUGUAUGCAUUGGAAACUGGUAGACUUGAGUGCAGGAGAGGAGAGUGGAAUUCCAUGUGUAGCGGUGAAAUGCGUAGAUAUAUUGGAGGAACACCGGUGGCGAAAGCGGCUCUCUGGCCUGUAACUGACACUGAGGCUCGAAAGCGUGGGGAGCAAACA